AGGGAGGAAGGUAGUGUAGUUAACACCUGCAUUAUUUGACGUUUACCUACAGAAGAAGCACCGGCUAACUCCGUGCCAGCAGCCGCGGUAAUACGGAGGGUGCGAGCGUUAAUCGGAAUUACUGGGCGUAAAGCGCAUGCAGGCGGCCUGUUAAGUCAGAUGUGAAAGCCCGGGGCGUUAACCUCGGAAUUGCAUUUGAAACUAGGCAGGCUAGAGUCUUGUAGAGGGGGGUAGGAAGUUUCAGGUGUAGCGGUGAAAUGCGUAGAGAUCUGAAGGAAUACCAGUGGCGAAGGCGGCCCCCUCGGACAAAGACUGACGCUCAGAUGCGAAAGCGUGGGGAGCAAACAGGAUUAGAUACCCUGGUAG
rnacentral:rRNA from 1 species